GCCUGGAUAGCUCAGGAUAGAGUGGUUAGAGUGUGGUGCUGAUUAUGCCAAGGUCGCAGGUUCAAUCCCCAUAUGGGACA